rnacentral:rRNA from 1 species
UACGGGGGGGCAAGCGUUGUUCGGAAUUACUGGGCGUAAGGGGCUCGUAGGCGGCCAACUAAGUCAGACGUGAAAUCCCUCGGCUUAACCGGGGAACUGCGUCUGAUACUGGAUGGCUAGAGGUUGGGAGAGGGAUGCGGAAUUCCAGGUGUAGCGGUGAAAUGCGUAGAUAUCUGGAGGAACACCGGUGGCGAAGGCGGCAUCCUGGACCAAUUCUGACGCUGAGGAGCGAAAGCCAGGGGAGCAAACGGG